UAUCGUUUGCUACUUGAAGAGAGGUUAUCCUUUGUGUGUUUGCUUUACGCGAAAUGAAUAUGCAAGGGCAAGCUCUCUUCGAGGAGCAAA
ensembl:miRNA Mir300 microRNA 300